rnacentral:rRNA from 1 species
GGGGGGGGGGGGGGGGGGGCGGGGGGCGGGCGGGGGGGGGGGGGGGGGGGGGGGCGGGCGGCGGGGGGGUUGGGGGGGGGGGGGUGGGGAGCGCGGGGAUGGCGUACCGCUGAGACUGGGAGGACUUCGGGACACCGGAGCUACGACCUGAUCAUGUUUGGACCCGCAUGGUGCAAACGUGAGAGCCGGUCUGGCUGUCACUUAUAGAUGGAUCCGCGCUGCAUUAGCUAGUUGGUAAGGUAACGGCUUACCAAGGCAACGAGGCAUAGCCGACCUGAGAGGGUGAUCGGCCACACUGGAACUGAGACACGGUCCAGACUCCUACGGGAGGCAGCAGUAGGGAAUCUUCCGCAAUGGGCGAAAGCCUGACGGAGCAACGCCGCGUGAGUGAUGAAGGUCUUCGGAUCGUAAAACUCUGUUAUUAGGGAAGAACAUAUGUGUAAGUAACUGUGCACAUCUUGACGGUACCUAAUCAGAAAGCCACGGCUAACUACGUG